UGGGAGGAAGCUCACCCCGGAUCUUGAGG
rnacentral:piRNA from 1 species